GGCCUCGUGGCGUAAAGGCAACGCGUCUGACUUCGAAUCAGAAGAUUGCAGGUUCGACCCCUGCCGUGGUCA